GAUGAACGCUGACAGAAUGCUUAACACAUGCAAGUCUACCAAGAAUCACUUCGGUGAGGAAUGGUGGCGGACGGGUGAGUAACGCGUAAAUAAUCUGCCCUUUAGACUGGGAUAUCCUUUGGAAACGAAGGUUAAUACUGGAUAUUAUGAGAUGGACGCAUGUUCAACUUAUGAAAGCUAAAUGCACUAGAGGAGGAGUUUGCGUCCCAUUAGCUAGUUGGUGAGGUAAAGGCUCACCAAGGACACGAUGGGUAGCCGGCCUGAGAGGGUGAACGGCCACAAGGGAACUGAGACACGGUCCUUACUCCUACGGGAGGCAGCAGUGGGGAAUAUUGGACAAUGGACCAAAAGUCUGAUCCAGCAAUUCUGUGUGCACGAUGAAGGUCUUCGGAUUGUAAAGUGCUUUCAGUAGGGAAGAAAAAAAUGACGGUACCUACAGAAGAAGCGACGGCUAAAUAUGUGCCAGCAGCCGCCGUAAAAC
rnacentral:rRNA from 1 species